UACAGAGGGUGCAAGCGUUUGUUCGGAAUUAUUGGGCGUAAAGCGCGUGUAGGCGGCUUUGCAAGUCGGGUGUGAAAGCCCUCAGCUCAACUGAGGAAGUGCGCCCGAAACUGCUUGGCUUGAGUACCGGAGAGGAUGGUGGAAUUCCCCAAGUAGAGGUGAAAUUCGUAGAUAUGGGGAGGAACACCGGUGGCGAAGGCGACCAUCUGGACGGAUACUGACGCUGAGACGCGAAAGCCAGGGGAGCGAACGGG
rnacentral:rRNA from 1 species